rnacentral:lncRNA from 1 species
AUUUACCUCAUCGUUGAGAGCCAUCAAAGAGAAGUUCACCACUUCAUCUUCAUUGGUUUGCUCCUCGAUUCGUCCCUCGUCGAGAUGCACUCGAUUUGUCCCAAGUCAGCUUGAGUGCUUUCUUCUUCUUUGGUAGUUUCUUCGAUUUAUAGUAAGUUGUUGUGUCAUUUUUAAGUUCAUUUUUAGAUUUAGUUUUUUCAUGAACUUAUUAAUUUUUUUU